GGGUGGACAUUGGAUUGCAGAAGAGGAUAUUCGUUUUCGAUAAGGCCAGUCAUUGCAAAAUUUAAGGCCUGCACUAGCCAUUGCAGAUCAGAUUUUUAUUAUAGAUAAUACAAAUGAACCCAUGAUUGUUGCUGAAAUCGCAGGAAGUAAGCUGAUAUAUUGCAUAGAUCAUAUACCUGCUUGGUCUGCAAGUGUUAUUAGAGACCAUAGUUGAUGAUGUAUUCUAGGGGAUAUUACAGCUUAAUAACCUGCACGCGUGCUCUCGCUCUGUAUCGCCCAUGUACCGGGAUGAGGGCUCAACUUUAGUGGGAUACGCAGUCACAUCUCCGCCUGGGGUGUGCUGAAGAAGACAAUCAGGCUGGGCAUAGCGAAAGCCGGUUACGGGGCGUUUGCUCUGCCGACAUUUAAAACUGUAACUACACCCGUAGAAACUUGUGUUGUCGUUAUCUUCGGACAGGGGUUCGACUCCCCUCGCCUCCAUCU
rnacentral:tmRNA from 1 species